CAUCUGAUAAAAAAGCAGUGGAGAGCAUUACUGGCUUUGUGAGCGUGUGUCUGGGGAAUCUGUCUCCACCCUGGAACUGGGGGGCAGAGAGGAGGCACUGUGUUUUUGGCAAAGGUUCCUUCAUGUUUUUACUCUUUCUGCUGAGACGAAUUGCCUGUAAUGGCCAAACCUGAGUGAUUCAGUUCGUCUGGGUUUUUUUGUUUUUCCUUCCAGCCUUGCGGUGGUUCUGCCAUGCCGCAGAGGGAUGCGGAUCUGAGGCUGUUUAAAUAUUGCUGACUUCUGCAGUUUAUCACAAUCCUCCUUGGUCUUUCCUCCUGCCAAUGGAGCGGUGCUUAAAUAUCUGUUGCAUGGCAAGUGUGCAAGUUAAUUGUUGGGGUCAAUUUGUUUUUAAUAGCUGAGGAGACCAUGGUGGACUGCCUCAGCAUCCUCGGUGGUACUGACUGUGUUGGUCACACCACAGCUGGGAAAACCCCUCGAAGAGCCAGCUGUGAUACCAGCCUGUCCUUGAGAGUGGGGAAUGAGGCAGGUGAGCUUAGACGAGCACCACAGUGGUUCAUCAGGGAUGGAACUGAUGCCCUGCUUCCUCAGGGAGAUGUUUUGGAGCUGCUGCUGAACUUCCCCCUUUGCGAUACAGUCUUGUCGGCCUUUCAGGAGGUAAAGGGGGCUUAUAACAAAGAUGCGAACAGACAUUUUAGCAGGGCCUGUUGCGAUAGGACAAGGGGUAAUGGCUUUAAACUAAAAGAGAGUGGAUUCAGACUAAAUAGAAGGAAGAAACUUUUUACAGUGAAGGUGGUGAGACACUGGCCCGGGUUGCCCAGAGAGGUGGUCGAUGCCCCAUCCCUGGAAACAUCCAAGGCCAGGUCGGACGGGGCUCUGAGCAACCUGAUCUAGUUGAAGGUGUCCCUGCUCAUGGCAGUGGGGUUGGACUAGGUGGCCUUUAAGGGCCCCUUCCAAUCCAAACUAUCUUAUGAUUUUGUGAUUGUCCCACCUGGCAGUGCCAGGCCUUCCUCUCGGAAGGCAGCAGCGUGAGGAGCCAGGGCAGUGGUCACAGCAGUAAUUCUUCUCAGGUUCCACUGACUCUCCCACAGCCUUUAUUUUAGGGUGGCUCUGCCAGUCCCAAAGGCUGCCUGGAGUCAAACACCUGGGACAAAUCAUGACGCGUGGAGCAGAGCAGCAGCUGUGACAAUAACUGGUGUGCAGCGGUGGGUGUAAAAAAUAGCACCUGCUCCUGGGGCUGCUUGAGGAAGGACGGUGCUAGGAACCGGGGCCACCUUCACGCAGACCUUCCAGCUGCCCAGACGUGCCAGGCGAGCUGGUGCAGAGGCUCUGAAGCAGGAUCCAGCAUCUGCUGAGAAACCGUGCCUGGGAAGGGAGCUGCUUGCAAGACUAACGUGUACAGGACAAGGUGUGAAGCACAUAGGCAGGCAUCACUGUAGAGACCCAGUCACCCUCCAGAAGGAGCAGAACUGGGUACGCUGCUGAGUUCCUCUGGAACAGGCUGCUCCAUUUUCAGUAAUAAAGCGGGUAGAGUUUGCAAGAAUCAAAAACCGGAUUGCACAGAAAAUAAAAGGACCUAACUUUCAUAAGCCCACGAUCCUCAGCUUCCGUGGGAAAAACUUCGAGGUUAACACGCUGCUCCUUUGACCAAGGAGUUCCUGGCAUGUGAAAGCCUCGCUGGGAAAUGUUUGGGUUUUAAUUUGGUCUGAGGCUGGCUCCCCGGGUCGGGAAUGUGGGGGUGUGCCUCCUGCCCGCCCCCACACCGGCCCGUGGGCCCUCCUGUUGGGAAGCGCUCUCCGGAAAAGUCAGGAGGGAGUUGUGCAAAGCGAUGCUUGCUUUAUUUUCCGAGGGGGAAGCCAGCGUACAAGCAGGGACUCUUUAUCCGUCCCCUUUCCUGUCUGGUAACUUGAGCCCAUGUUAUCUCCUUAAUGUCAUUUAGUGCGUGCUUGUUAGACCUCAGCAACCUUGCCGCUUUAAUUCCUGUUCCUCUGUAGUUAGCUCUGAAAUGAAGCUUCUGCAGUAUAGCCACCUUUUAUAGCAGUGUACCAGUUUUGGAUAAGCAGGUAUUGUUUAUCCUACACAUGACACCGAUACUGAAAUAAAUCUGUCUAGCUGGUCCAUACAGAGUGUUUUACUCUAUGCAGACAGUACAUGGGAUAUAUUUAGCACCAUGACUAUAUUUAGUGUGUCAUUCUGAAGCAUCUGACAGCCAGAAGGUCUGGGUUGUGGGGACGCUGGCUUUUGAGUAUCAACAGCAAUCUGAAGCUUUCUCCUGUGUCAUCAGUGUUUGGGCUACUUAAAGAGCAAAGAAUCAGUUCUGCUUGAAUUUGUGUCACCACUCUGUUGAUUUUCAGCUUCUCUGUGACAAUAGGAGCUCUGGAAGAUAAGGAAUAAAAUCUCUUUGUUGAAAUGACGUGGAAGAAUGAAGAGGACAAAGCGUGCUGUGAGCUGUGUUCGGGCCUGGGAUUUCUGGGGUCCUCAACGGGUUGUCCCAGCGCAUCUGAAUACGCGUAGACCUGUGAUUGUCAGCCUGAUGGAGAAGUGCCCUGUAACAGGGACCAAUUGACUUGCCCUCACCCAGAACGAGAAUGGCAUUUCUACACUGUAAAUCAUGUCUGGCACAAGUUUUAUCUAGCUUCAUCAUUCAUCUUCGCAUCUAACUUCCUACACUUUUUCCUUUGA